rnacentral:rRNA from 1 species
GAGCUCGCACAAGCGGUGGAGCACGUUGUUUAAUUCGAUGAUCCCCGAAAAACCUUACCAGCCCUUGACAUGAAAAUUUUAAGACUAAGAAAUUAGUCUUUUCAGUUUAGCUGGAUUUUCACAGGCGUUGCAUGGUCGUAGUAAGUUCGUGUCUUGAGAUGUUGGGUUAAGUCCUUUAACGAACGCAACCAUUAUUUCUAGUUGCCAUCGAGUAAUGUCGGGAACUUUAGAAAGACUGCUGAUUAAAAAUCAGAGGAAGGUGAUGAUGACUUCAGAUCCUCAUGACCCUUAUGGGCUGGGCUACAAAUGUGCUACAUUGGUAGGUACAAUAAGUUGCAAUAUAGCAAUAUAAAGCUAAAUCUUUAAAAACCUAUCUAAGUUCGGAUCGUUCUCUGCAAUUCGAGAACGUGAAGCAGGAAUCGCUAGUAAUCG